rnacentral:SRP_RNA from 1 species
GCACAAUGGUAUAACAUUUUUAGUCCCAACUAGUGGGGAGGCUGAGGCAGGAAGAUCACCUGAACCCAGGGGUUCUGGGCUGUAGUAUGCUUUGCUGAUGGGGUGUCUACACCAAGUUCAGCAUUAGUAUGGUGACCUCCUAGGAACGAGGGACUACCAGGUUGUCUAAGGAGAGAUGAACCAGCCGAGGUGAAAAUGAUAUAAGUCAAAACUUCUGUGUUGGUCAGUAGUCAGAUCAUGCCUGUGAAUAGCCACUGCAUUCCAGCCUGGGCAAGAUAGUAAGACCCAGUCUCU